GUGCUCACUUAGGCAACACGUAUACUAAAAUCAGAAAAAUACAGAGAAGAUUAAUGUGGUUCCUGCUAAGGAUGACACACAAAUUUGUGAAGCAUUCCAUAUUUUU
ensembl:snRNA U6 U6 spliceosomal RNA